rnacentral:rRNA from 1 species
AACGACUCUCGACAACGGAUAUCUCGGCUCUCGCAUCGAUGAAGAACGUAGCGAAAUGCGAUACCUGGUGUGAAUUGCAGAAUCCCGUGAACCAUCGAGUCUUUGAACGCAAGUUGCGCCCGAAGCCACUAGGCUGAGGGCACGCCUGCCUGGGUGUCACGC